CCUGUCCUCACAUCUUUUUGUGAUUAUAUCUGGGUCAUAACACAGAUGAUGUGAUUCUGAGAUGGG
ensembl:miRNA